CACACUCAAUCCACUUAAAGCUGGCGCCUUAUUUUGAUCAUCAUCAUCGUCACUUCGUCAGCAUCAAUUCUUUCUCAUUGCCAUUUAAAUCAUAGAGUAAUUACCUUCUUUCUCUCCUGAAACACCCUAAUUUUCUCUCUCCUCUCCUAUUCUCUCACAUUGAUGUUCUUCCUACUUCCAUUCGCCCCAAAUAAACCUAAUUUUGUUUACUAAAUCAAUCAAAAUCAAUGAAAUUCACCGGAAAACUUUUCACGGUUGGAUUGAUUACCUUUUGGUAUUCAUCAAAUAUUGGCGUAAUCUUAUUAAACAAGUACUUAUUAAGCAAUUAUGGAUUUAAAUAUCCGAUUUUCCUUACAAUGUGUCAUAUGACUGCUAGUUCUCUUCUUAGUUAUAUUGCCAUUGUAUGGUUAAAGGUUGUACCAAUGCAAACAAUUCGAUCUCGUGUUCAAUUUGCGAAGAUCACUGCACUUUCUGCAAUUUUUUGUGCUUCUGUUGUUAGCGGUAAUAUUUCUCUUCGUUAUCUUCCUGUAUCUUUCAAUCAGGCUGUUGGUGCAACGACGCCGUUUUUCACUGCCAUUUUUGCCUAUUUGAUGACCUUUAAAAGAGAAGGAUGGCUCACUUAUAUCACUCUUAUUCCUGUUGUUACCGGUGUCAUCAUUGCUACUGGGGGAGAACCUAUGUUCAAUUUAUUUGGGUUUAUAAUGUGUGUUGGAGCAACUGCUGCACGAGCCUUUAAGACAGUACUUCAAGGGAUUUUACUAUCUUCUGAUUCGGAGAAGCUGAAUUCUAUGAAUCUUCUAAUGUACAUGGCUCCCAUAGCUGUUGUGUGCCUUAUUCCAGCAGCACUCACACUGGAGAAAAAUGUAGUUGGGAUCACAGUAGCUCUUGCCAGAGAAGAUCGCAGCAUUGUUUGGUAUUUGCUCUUUAAUUCUGCUCUUGCCUACUUUGUGAAUUUAACGAACUUUUUGGUGACCAAACACACCAGUGCAUUGACUCUCCAGGUAUUAGGAAAUGCCAAGGGAGCUGUUGCUGUUGUUGUCUCAAUAUUGAUAUUUAGGAAUCCUGUAUCGGUGACAGGAAUGCUCGGUUACUGCCUAACUGUUAUUGGAGUUGUUCUCUACAGUGAAGCCAAAAAGCGCAGCAAAUGAAAAUGUUUGGGUAUACAGAUCUGUCGUUCAUCAGAUUUAGGCCACCCAAUGUGAUGCAUGCAGUCUUCAUUUAGAGGGACGUGCGUAACACAGGAAUACAGGAUCAUGAGUUUUACUAUUACUGCUGUAAGUAGGUUCUGUAGUCUUUAUAAUACCUCAAUGUGAUAAUAUUUAAUUUGUUUAGGGAAUAUCACUGGAUUCUUAAAUCACAAAUUUUUGUUCUGUUUGAAAUCCUCAAACAAAAGAAACAAAGAAAUGCUUAAAUAAUUCCUAGGGGGUUUCCAUUUACCUUAGGUCAAGUUUAAAUAAGGUCUCGUGUUCAUUUUGGUUUUUAAAUAAUUGCAAAAACACUUACCAAGUCGGAUUAAAUUAAGUUCGUUUACAAGAUCGGAUAAAUGUCGAAUCAUUGAGUCUGCUUUGAACAUCUUUAGCAGUAACUGUUAUGUGUGAAUGUGUGCAGCACAGCAAUUUAGGAGUAAUUUAUCGAUAUAUAUUCACACAUCCAGACUCCUUAUUGACUAAUGAAAUAUUAUUAGUCUAAAAUGA